rnacentral:rRNA from 1 species
UCAGGUGGUUAUAACGUUGGGGAUCCACCUCUUCCCAUUCCGAACAGAGAAGUUAAGCCCAACGGUGCCGAUGGUACUGCGUCUCAGUGGGAGAGUAGGACGCCGCCGUUU